AUGGAACAAUAUACAUUUGUCGCUGAAAGUAGGCUUGGGAAGUUGCCAGUUAAGGACAAAGCUUCUGGAAAGAAGCAAGCAUCUUCCAAGGGAAGCUUGACUAAAGCUGUUCAGGGCGGUUUGGGUACUGAAUCGUACGAGUUAAUGGCAAAGAUUCCUAGUUCACCCUUAGUAGGCCUAAAACUAUUUGUACAGAUAUGUGUAUGUACCUAUUCAUUUGUGAUGACGACAAUGAGAUCAGUUUUGUUUCUGUCAAAAGGAUGGCGUCGAGCUGAGCAGCCUUUGAUACACCGCAUUAGGAGCCCAGGUGUUGCCUUCCUGAUAAAUCUGGCUACAACCGACCGGCAUGAGCUCGCUUUGGCCCCUCCGAUCUUGCAGCUACUGCCUCAUCGCCAACCUACAACAAAAAAGGUGAGCCUCCUGCCUUUAUAUGUUGUCACGAUUAAUAAGGUUGGAGUAGCUUUAUUAAUGGAUGAAAUCCCCUGCCUGUUCCGUUCACCACCCCAAGUGACCAUUGUUUAG
rnacentral:rRNA from 1 species